rnacentral:lncRNA from 1 species
CGCGUCCUUUGGUGCCAUUCUGUGUUUGUUCCUACCGUGGAAAGCAAAGAGCUCUUUUUGCAAAGUUCUCAAGGGCAAGGAGGGCGACUUUGGCUCCAACGCCUCAAGAUAGCGUCCUGCUCCGCACAGGCAUCUCAGGUCCUGUCCAGGAGAACCUGGCCACCAAAGGGUCGUCUUCUGCUGCUGACCCCCGUCAAAUCCCAUCAUGCCCACAGCCCUGUGCCCCCGAGUCUUGGCUCCGAAGGAAAGUGAGGAGCCCAGGAAAAUGAGGAGCCCACCGGGAGAGAACCCUAGCCCCCAAGGGGAGCUUCCCAGCCCCGAGU